rnacentral:pre_miRNA from 1 species
UUGAGAUGAAAUCAGCGUUUGGACAUACGAUUUUACACUGAUUCAUCUCAUGA